GGGUUGUGAGGUUAAGCGACUAAGCGUACACGGUGGAUGCCUAGGCAGUCAGAGGCGAUGAAGGGCGUGCUAAUCUGCGAUAAGCGUCGGUAAGCUGAUAUGAAGCGUUAUACCCGACGAUACCCGAAUGGGGAAACCCAGUGUGUUUCGACACACUAUCAUGACAUGAAUACAUAGUGUCAUGAGGCGAACCGGGGGAACUGAAACAUCUCAGUACCCCGAGGAAAAGAAAUCAACCGAGAUUCCCCCAGUAGCGGCGAGCGAACGGGGAGGAGCCCAGAACCUGAAUCAGUUUGUGUGUUAGUGGAAGCGUCUGGAAAGUCGCACAGUAAAGGGUGAUAGUCCCGUACACAAAAAUGCACAGAUUGUGAGUUCGAUGAGUAGGGCGGGACACGUGACAUCCUGUCUGAAUAUGGGGGGACCAUCCUCCAAGGCUAAAUACUCCUGACUGACCGAUAGUGAACCAGUACCGUGAGGGAAAGGCGAAAAGAACCCCGGCGAGGGGAGUGAAAUAGAACCUGAAACCGUGUACGUACAAGCAGUGGGAGCCUACUUGUUAGGUGACUGCGUACCUUUUGUAUAAUGGGUCAGCGACUUAUAUUCUGUAGCAAGGUUAACCGUAUAGGGGAGCCGCAGGGAAACCGAGUCUUAACUGGGCGUUAAGUUGCAGGGUAUAGACCCGAAACCCGGUGAUCUAGCCAUGGGCAGGUUGAAGGUUGGGUAACACUAACUGGAGGACCGAACCGACUAAUGUUGAAAAAUUAGCGGAUGACUUGUGGCUGGGGGUGAAAGGCCAAUCAAACCGGGAGAUAGCUGGUUCUCCCCGAAAGCUAUUUAGGUAGCGCCUCGUGAAUUCAUCUUCGGGGGUAGAGCACUGUUUCGGCUAGGGGGUCAUCCCGACUUACCAACCCGAUGCAAACUACGAAUACCGAAGAAUGUUAUCACGGGAGACACACGGCGGGUGCUAACGUUCGUCGUGAAGAGGGAAACAACCCAGACCGCCAGCUAAGGUCCCAAAGUCAUGGUUAAGUGGGAAACGAUGUGGGAAGGCACAGACAGCCAGGAUGUUGGCUUAGAAGCAGCCAUCAUUUAAAGAAAGCGUAAUAGCUCACUGGUCGAGUCGGCCUGCGCGGAAGAUGUAACGGGGCUAAACCAUGCACCGAAGCUGCGGCAGCGACACUUAGGUGUUGUUGGGUAGGGGAGCGUUCUGUAAGCCUGCGAAGGUGGCCUGUGAGGGCUGCUGGAGGUAUCAGAAGUGCGAAUGCUGACAUAAGUAACGAUAAUGCGGGUGAAAAACCCGCACGCCGGAAGACCAAGGGUUCCUGUCCAACGUUAAUCGGGGCAGGGUGAGUCGACCCCUAAGGCGAGGCUGAAAAGCGUAGUCGAUGGGAAACAGGUUAAUAUUCCUGUACUCGGUGUUACUGCGAAGGGGGGACGGAGAAAGCUAGGUUAUCCGGGCGACGGUUGUCCCGGUUUAAGCGUGAAGGUGGGUGACUUUGGUAAAUCCGGGUCAUCAUUAACACUGAGGCGUGAUGACGAGUCACUACGGUGAUGAAGUAACCGAUGCUACGCUUCCAGGAAAAGCCUCUAAGCUCCAGGUAACAUCAAAUCGUACCCCAAACCGACACAGGUGGUCAGGUAGAGAAUACUCAGGCGCUUGAGAGAACUCGGGUGAAGGAACUAGGCAAAAUGGUGCCGUAACUUCGGGAGAAGGCACGCUGAUGGUAGGUGAAGUGACUUGCUCAUGGAGCUGAAAUCAGUCGAAGAUACCAGCUGGCUGCAACUGUUUAAUAAAAACACAGCACUGUGCAAACACGAAAGUGGACGUAUACGGUGUGACGCCUGCCCGGUGCCGGAAGGUUAAUUGAUGGGGUCAGCCGCAAGGCGAAGCUCUUGAUCGAAGCCCCGGUAAACGGCGGCCGUAACUAUAACGGUCCUAAGGUAGCGAAAUUCCUUGUCGGGUAAGUUCCGACCUGCACGAAUGGCGUAAUGAUGGCCAGGCUGUCUCCACCCGAGACUCAGUGAAAUUGAACUCGCUGUGAAGAUGCAGUGUACCCGCGGCAAGACGGAAAGACCCCGUGAACCUUUACUAUAGCUUGACACUGAACCUUGAGCCUUGAUGUGUAGGAUAGGUGGGAGGCUUUGAAGCGUGGACGCCAGUCUGCGUGGAGCCAACCUUGAAAUACCACCCUUUAAUGUUUGAUGUUCUAACGUGGACCCGUGAUCCGGGUUGCGGACAGUGUCUGGUGGGUAGUUUGACUGGGGCGGUCUCCUCCCAAAGCGUAACGGAGGAGCACGAAGGUUAGCUAAUCCUGGUCGGACAUCAGGAGGUUAGUGCAAAGGCAUAAGCUAGCUUGACUGCGAGAGUGACAGCUCGAGCAGGUGCGAAAGCAGGUCUUAGUGAUCCGGUGGUUCUGAAUGGAAGGGCCAUCGCUCAACGGAUAAAAGGUACUCCGGGGAUAACAGGCUGAUACCGCCCAAGAGUUCAUAUCGACGGCGGUGUUUGGCACCUCGAUGUCGGCUCAUCACAUCCUGGGGCUGAAGUAGGUCCCAAGGGUAUGGCUGUUCGCCAUUUAAAGUGGUACGCGAGCUGGGUUUAGAACGUCGUGAGACAGUUCGGUCCCUAUCUGCCGUGGGCGUUGGAAGAUUGAGAGGGGUUGCUCCUAGUACGAGAGGACCGGAGUGAACGCACCACUGGUGUACGGGUUGUGAUGCCAAUUGCAUUGCCCGGUAGCUAAGUGCGGAAGAGAUAACCGCUGAAAGCAUCUAAGCGGGAAACUUGCCUCGAGAUGAGUCUUCCCUGGGCACUUGAUGCCCCUGAAGGGCCGUUGAAGACGACGACGUAGAUAGGCUGGGUGUGUAAGCGUAGCGAUACGUUGAGCUAACCAGUACUAAUGACCCGAGAGGCUUAACCUUACAACACCGAAGGUGUUU
rnacentral:rRNA from 1 species